AGUGGCCACAAGCGUGCUUGAAAGGAAACCAGACACGGGAAGUUCUCUGAUGUCCUUCUUUAUUUCUAUCAGACUAAGCAUUCCUUGAAGACAGGAUCUGUGUUUCUGCCUAAGCCCACCUUCUGCAAGAAGAAAGGAAGUACAUGCUGGGCUGGCGUGGUGGGAGAGGCAUGAUACAUGAGGCCGGUACAACCAUGUCCGAUAUGAAACUUGAGUUCCCCUGCUGAUUCAUUGGACUCAAAGCCAACAUGUCAACUUUUUGCCUUACUGAUUCAGGAACACCAAUGGAUGGAAAA